rnacentral:snoRNA from 1 species
UCUCACUGAUGAGUUGCUUCUGACUUUCAUUCUUCUGAGUUUGCCGAACCCAGAUGCCAUUCCUGGGAAGG